AGUCCAGACUCCUACGGGAGGCAGCAGUGGGGAAUAUUGCACAAUGGGGGGAACCCUGAUGCAGCGACGCCGCGUGGGUGAAGGAGCCCCUCGGUGCGUAAAGCCCUAUCGGCAGGGAAGAAACAGACGGUACCUGACUAAGAAGCCCCGGCUAACUACGUGCCAGCAGCCGCGGGAAUACGUAGGGGGCAAGCGUUAUCCGGAUUCACUGGGUGUAAAGGGAGCGUAGACGGCGACGCAAGUCUGGAGUGAAAGCCCGCGGCCCAACCGCGGGACUGCAUUGGGAACUACCGGGCUGGAGUGCCGGAGAGGUAGGCGGAAUUCCUAGUGUAGCGGUGAAAUGCGUAGAUAUUAGGAGGAACACCAGUGGCGAAGGCGGCCUACUGGACGGUGACUGACGCUGAGGCUCGAAAGCGUGGGGAGCAAACAGGAUUAGAUACCCGCGUA
rnacentral:rRNA from 1 species